AUUGUGAGCAAAUAAUGGUUGUUUGUUUUAAGCCACCAAGUGUUGGGGUGGUUCAUUGCCCAGCAAUAGAUAACUGAAACAUGUAUGCACUAUUUGCACUGGAAUCCUUGUCUUAACGUAUUCCUCUGGGGGAACACUCCAAAAAACUUAUUCUGCUAUGGUUUGAAUAUUUUUGUCCCCUCCAAAAGUCAUGUUGAAACGUAAUG
rnacentral:lncRNA from 10 species